ensembl:miRNA
GUAUUAGGUUGGUGCAAAAGUAAUUGCAGUUUUUGCCAUUGCUCUUAAUGGCAAAACUGCAAUUACUUUU